GAUGAAGAACGUAGCGAAAUGCGAAAAGUAGUGUGAAUUGCAGAAUUCAGUGAAUCAUCGAAUCUUUGAACGCACAUUGCGCCCUUUGGUAUUCCAAAGGGCAUGCCUGUUCGAGCGUCAUUUGUACCCUCAAGCUUUGCUUGGUGUUGGGCGUCUUGUCUCUAGCUUUGCUGGAGACUCGCCUUAAAGUAAUUGGCAGCCGGCCUACUGGUUUCGGAGCGCAGCACAAGUCGCACUCUCUAUCAGCAAAGGUCUAGCAUCCAUUAAGCCUUUUUUUUCAACUUUUGACCUCGGAUCAGGUAGGGAUACCCGCUGAACUUAAGCAUAUCAAUAAGCGGAGGA
rnacentral:misc_RNA from 1 species